rnacentral:sRNA from 1 species
UCAGUACGAGGCUUUGUGGCGGACUGCCGGC